rnacentral:rRNA from 1 species
GGGUAAUACCUACUGGAGGACCGAACAAGUGGGUGUUAAAAAACCCUUUGAUGAACUGUGGAUAGCGGUGAAAUUCCAAUCGAACUCGGAGAUAGCUGGUUCUAUCCGAAAUACAUUUAGGUGUAGCCUUGCAAUUAGCUUACUGGAGGUAGAGCACUAUUUGGUCUAGGGGCCCUUCAAGGGUUACCAAAAUCAGAUAAACUCCGAAUGCCAGCUAAGUAUGUGCAGGAGUCAGACGGUGAGUGAUAAGAUCCAUCGUCAAAAGGGGAACAGCCCAGAUCACCAGUUAAGGUCCCUAAAUAUAUGCUAAGUGGAAAACGUUGUGAAGGUGCAUAGACAACUAGGAGGUUGGCUCAGAAGCAGCCACCCUUUAAAGAGUGCGUAAUAGCUCACUAGUCGAGUGCUCUUGCGCGGAUAAUGUACCGGGGCUAAGCAUAUUACCGAAACUGUGGAUGCGUAAGCAUGGUAGGAUAGCGUAAUUAACGCGAUGAAGGAUGACCGUAAGGACAUGUUGGAGCGUUAACUAGUGAGAAUUCCGGUAUGAGUAGCGAAAGAUAGGUGAGAAUCCUAUCCACCGAAUGAGUAAGGUUUCCCCCGGAAGGCUCGUCCGCGGGGGGUUAGUCGGGACCUAAGGCGAGGCUGAAAAGCGUAGUCGAUGGACAACAGGUUGAUAUUCCUGUACCGAUAUUUAAUUGCCGAAGGAAGGACGCAGAAGAAUAACACAGGCCACUAUUGGAUGUGGUUUUAAACAGUUAGUCUUCAUAAGAGUCAAAUGCUUUUAUGUUUAAGGAUAAGCUGUGAAUGUACCAAGUUUACUUGGAAAUUGUGUGAUUUCACGCUGCUGAAAAAAGUUUCGUAGGAAGAAAAUAU